UUCGUGUGGGACUCCGUAGCCUCUCGCUGUGGCCACGUCGGCUCAAAUUUUUUUGGCCAUGCGAUCUCGUUCCGAUGGUCUCGAUGCCUGCUCGUCUGUGCUACACAAGAUUUCUUCCGUUCACAUGCUGCAGUGCAGGUCAAGCACAUCUUCCAGAAAGUUUUCGUCUUCCUUCCUCUCCUCUGCGCCAAAAGAUUUCUUCCGUUCACACACAGCAGUGCUGGUCAAGCCCAUCUUCUGGGAAAUUUCCGUCUUCCUCCCUCUCCUUCCCGAUAGUUCCUCUGAUGUCUCAAGCUCCGCCCUCUUCUCUGAGCUCGUCUUGUGGUCCUCGCGGCUCACGGCGGCGGCCUCGCCUCGCCUCGCCGCCUGCCGUCGCGUAGUCCGCGCGCCCACCUCCUCCUGCACGGUUGCGGCCUCUGCUCCGUCACCCGGAUGCCCAGUUCCGUGCUCCAGCCCCGGCCCAGUCGACGACCUGGACCCGCAGCUGCUCGGCGCACUCUGCUGCGCCUCGCCUCGUCGCUUGCCGCCGCGCAGUCCACACGCCCACCUCCUCCUGCGCGGUUGUGGCCUCUGCUCCGCCGCCCGGAUACCCGGUUUCGUGCUCCAGCCCCGGCCCAGUCGACGACCCGGACCCGCACCUUCUCGACGCGCCCUGCUGCGUGCACACCGCACAGCAACUUCCGCGGGGCGCGACCCUACCUCUGCGUCGCAGCGGGAGAGUUCGCCGCCGCUGCCAUCGCCUAGGUACACGACGAGUUUGCCACUGUGCUGUGCCCACGCGUGAACCGAUGGUUUUCGCCUUUACGCGCCCACAAGCUAGGUGUAAUCUCCCUGUGUGCUGUCGCCGCCGUGAUGGGCAGGCCACAAGGAAUUCCGCGCCAUCCCCUCUGUCGUGGCUGCGCCCGCCUCAUCGGCCAUGUUCUCCUACACACCGUCGCCCUCUGCAGCUGACGCCUCGACGCCGUACGUGGUCGACGACCAUAUUUGGCCGGGGGAUCCUGCUUCACUUGGCUUCUAUGGUAAGUUCUUCCUCUUCCUUACUACUACUGUCGCUUUCUCCUUUGUUUCCUCUCACUUCUUCUUUCUAUGAUAUGAGGAUCCAUUCGAUUGGCUGCUCCUAUGUAGCUCGAACAUUGAUUCAGGCGCUCUGCAACGUGUGUUUCAUGCCCAUAUCUUUGGAUGCUCAGAUCAAGUUUCCGUCCUUUCGAUUUUGCUUGUGCUCAUGCGGCUUCCAAUUACUCCCCCCCCCCCCACACCCUCCUUCUAUGUUCUUUUCUUUUUUAUAACAGAUUCUUCACAUCCAGAUUGGUUUUGUAUUUUCUUCUUUCUUUGAUUUCAAUCUCGAUCUGAUGUUUCUCCUCAUUGUGCCUUCUUCCAAUUUCUCCUUAGCGUUUUUCCAAAGAUUAAGUUACAGAAUAUGGUCUUCCUAUUUUUACAGGUCCUGCAAAAGCACCUUUAGAGGUAUUUGUGUCCUUCCAUGCUGCUCAAGACAUUGGAGGUACUAUAAGCUACUUUUCUUCAAUCCUAUUAAUUAUGUGAGUUCUUGGACCAUAUUUGCACUUACUGUCGACUUUCUUCCUUGUUUCUUUGAAAGAUAAAGAAUUGAUAUAUAAGCAGAUGCUAUUACCUGAGGGCAUAAAAAUAAUUGCUGAUACAAGAUUGUAGAUUUAUUGGUUGUGAGGCUAGAAACACCAACUUACUUCUGUAACAGGGGGAAGAAAUCAAUAUAGUAUGUUAUUUUCUAAUUGCCUGAAUUUUAUAUGGACUCAUUAGAGGGCCUUGUAGCUGAUGCUCGAAUCUGGUUCUCAAUUUCUUAUCAAGGAUAACCACAAACUUGAACCCGAAUCAUUAAAUUCUGAAAAUAGCUUUCUUUGCUUUGACUUGGAUUUGAAAUUGAAACAACAUGUGCAGGUUUUGAAGGGCUUGUCCAUAUAAUGAAGAAAGGAAAGAGAGCAUAGAUUAAAAUUGUCUCUUUCAACAACAAAGCAAUUAUUGCUGGAAAUAAAUUCAGCCAUUCCUUGAGAAGGAAAAGCAAAAGGAAAAAUGAACCUAGGGAUUCCAUCAAGGACAUAAGGGAUGUUAAAGAGCUCCAAGAUGGAAUUUCAGAGAAUGCAUUCACUUAUCCAAGCAGGUACUAAGGUAAAAAAAACUACAUUUUCCAGCUAAAUCAUUUUCUUAUGCAGAUGCAUUGAAAUUUUCAAAACAGAAGAAAGAAGGGUGCAACAAUAUAUUCACAAACUAAUUAUGCCUAAUAUUUGCUUAUACCAUUUUUCAUUGCUUCUUUCACAUAUGAUGCCUAAGUGUGACCUGCUUGAUUAAGCAUAUUUUUAUGACCAACCCUUCCACCAGCUUGACAGGCCAAUUUGAUAGAUGGGUCAGAGAUACCUGUAGUUUUUUGUCCCGUGGCCUUUUCUAUUUCAACUUCGACUAAUUUGUUUCCACACCACAACAUGUAUUUUUCCGGAUGAAUAUACUGAAAUAUAAUUCAGAGUUGCUACAUCACAUUGUUUCUAUAGGAGUUUAAUAGCUAUUGGACCCAUUCCCUUUCGGAUGUACAGACCAUCUAUUGUUCAUAUUCUUGUCACUGUUUAUGCUAAAUUUGUUUAGUUUGAUACCAUUGUUAGAUUAAUACCAUCGUUGUCCAGUUUGAAGUUUGGUACUACUUUGUUUCUGCUAUGCAGGUACAUCGUUUUGGGACAUGUUUACCACCUGGAAUCUCUCAAUAUGAUUGCAACUUUUGUAAUAUAAUUAAUUCAGAUCAAACUAAUAGGUAUAGUUUCAUUUUUUUCAUAUGAUCAGCCACACAGAGAGAAUAUUCAUGCAAUGAACUGCUAGAUCAGAAGAGCUUCCUAUUGUCAUCAGGUUGUUCUUUCUUAUUCUCUUCGUGCCUUUACCUGCCAUUGGAUUCAUUAUGACAUAUAUUUUACAAAUACUUUGUGACCAGUUUUACUAUUCUAUUUGGCAAAUAUUUUCUCCAGUAUGAUACAAAAUUAAUUUGACUUAACUCAAAUUUAUGGUUCUGUAAUGUAUGCACCCAAAAUUGAUCUAUCACUUCCUUUUCCCCGUAUGCAGUUGGAGAGAAAAAAAAAGAUUCUACAUUUCUACUGCUACUAUAGCCUGUUAGGAGAAACCUGAAUUGCGGCUUUUAAAGUUUGGUAAGUUUAUCUACCUUUUUUUUAUUGAAUUUUCUUAUUCACCUAGAUGAAAGGACUGGUACCAAACGUACACACCUGACAAGGCAACAGGACUGCUUGCCCAAGUGUCCUUCGUGUAAAAUUUCCUUGCGUUCAUACUUAGAUUGAACCUUGAUAGUACAUGAGGAAGGGCAAUUUGUUUUCUUCAUGUUCACAUUUUGAUUAAGGAGCAAGGAUAGUUUUUUUCUCCAUGUUCACACGUUGGUCAGUAUAUAUGAAAGGUAGGAAAAUGUGUAGAAGCUUGGCUUCUUUCGGAUCCGGUGAAGAAAUGAAGCUCCAUUUUACCAUUAAUAAAGGUAAAAAAUGGUUUUCCCAGCGGCUUGAAAGCAGGAUCAUCAUGAUGCUCACUUCAGGAUAUUUAUGUCUAUAUCAUGAAAACCCCAAGCCAUUCUUAACAGACCAUCCCAAAACAGCAUCAACUAUGGCUUAGCUUAGCUUAGAUUAUGUGGUUGGUAUCUUCGACCUUUUUGCUAGAGCAUCAAAUGUUUUGUUGUAACAUAAAUGUAACCUACUGUCUAUUAUAAUUCUCGAAAAAUAAUAUAGAAUAUUAAUAAUAUAAGUUUCUACUCUGA